rnacentral:rRNA from 1 species
AUUGAACGCUGGCGGCAUGCCUUACACAUGCAAGUCGAACGGCAGCACGGGUGCUUGCACCUGGUGGCGAGUGGCGAACGGGUGAGUAAUACAUCGGAACAUGUCCUGUAGCGGGGGAUAGCCCGGCGAAAGCCGGAUUAAUACCGCAUACGAUCUACGGAUGAAAGCGGGGGACCUUCGGGCCUCGCGCUAUAGGGUUGGCCGAUGGCUGAUUAGCUAGUUGGUGGGGUAAAGGCCGACCAAGGCGACGAUCAGUAGCUGGUCUGAGAGGACGACCAGCCACACUGGGACUGAGAAACGGCCCAGACUCCUACGGGAGGAAGCAGUGGGGAAUUUUGGACAAUGGGCGAAAGCCUGAUCCAGCAAUGCCGCGUGUGUGAAGAAGGCCUUCGGGUUGUAAAGCACUUUUGUCCGGAAAGAAAUCCUUGGCCCUAAUACGGUCGGGGGAUGACGGUACCGGAAGAAUAAGCACCGGCUAACUACGUG